rnacentral:rRNA from 1 species
AACGAACGCUGGCGGCAGGCUUAACACAUGCAAGUCGAGCGCCCCGCAAGGGGAGCGGCAGACGGGUGAGUAACGCGUGGGAAUCUACCCAUCUCUACGGAAUAACGCAUGGAAACGUGUGCUAAUACCGUAUACGUCCUUCGGGAGAAAGAUUUAUCGGAGAUGGAUGAGCCCGCGUUGGAUUAGCUAGUUGGUGGGGUAAAGGCCUACCAAGGCGACGAUCCAUAGCUGGACUGAGAGGAUGAUCAGCCACACUGGGACUGAGACACGGCCCAGACUCCUACGGGAGGCAGCAGUGGGGAAUAUUGGACAAUGGGCGCAAGCCUGAUCCAGCCAUGCCGCGUGAGUGAUGAAGGCCCUAGGGUUGUAAAGCUCUUUCACCGGUGAAGAUAAUGACGGUAACCGGAGAAGUAGCCCCGGCUAACUUCGUGCCAGCAGCCGCCGUAAAAC